UACGUAGGGUGCAAGCGUUGUCCGGAAUUAUUGGGCGUAAAGAGCUCGUAGGCGGUUUGUCGCGUCGAAUGUGAAAACCCGGGGCUCAACUCCGGGCCUGCAUUCGAUACGGGCAGACUAGAGUUCGGUAGGGGAGACUGGAAUUCCUGGUGUAGCGGUGAAAUGCGCAGAUAUCAGGAGGAACACCGGUGGCGAAGGCGGGUCUCUGGGCCGAUACUGACGCUGAAGAGCGAAAGCGUGGGGAGCGAACAGG
rnacentral:rRNA from 1 species